ACCCCCCGUAACCUAACCCCAAGUCCUAGUCCCACUCCCAUCCUCUCGACAUCUUUACGUCCCUAGCGGCUGGUGGUCGUCCGCCUAUCUGGAUUCGGCCAUCCUAGGCUCCGCCCAUCUGGAUCUGGUGCCUUAGGGACUACCCCCAUCUAGAUCUGGCCAUCCUAGGCUCCAAAGACCGGACACUCGGCACGACGAUCGGCGCCUUAGGCAUGGACACUGAGGAGCCGAGGUGCCCGGGGAUGUCGCGUUCACUGGCAGCGCUGGGAUGUCUUCCAUCGUGCGUAAGCAGCAGUGCCCGUGCUCAAUUCGUUGCUUCUCUGGGGAGCGAGUUUGACGCUCCAUCAUCUCUCCCGCGGCGCUACGUCCUAGUAGUCGUGCCUCCUUCCGUGAAGCAGCAUCGCCGUUGUCGCCAUCGACAUCUUCUCCCCCAGACGAUACAUCCUCUAUUUUAGUUCCCAGUAUAGCAGUUGCUUGGGUGCUAGGGUUUAGGGUUAGCUGUUGCUUUAUUGCAUUGGUGCUUGUGGGCUAACAGUCUAUUUUCAUAAUUUAUAGACACCGGACCCCUGUCAUGCACUUUUCCUGUCAUAGACACCUUAGUAACAGAUGAGUCGUAGCUAUGUGCUUGACAGCUUGGGUGCUUGGGUCCUAACAGAGACAUUGGUUACCAGUGCCCACAACAAUUUUUACUUAGAUUAGACUAGAGUAUAUGAUUCACAGUUAUUCAACCAGAUGCUUGGGUGCUUGGGUGUUUUACAGUUUUUAUUCAAAUAAAGGUGCUAACAGUUAUUCAAACAAAUGCUUGAGUGCUUUAUAGUUUUUAUUCAAACAAAUGUAUUUGCUGUUAUCUGAUUCUGAAAUUAUUUGAUGCUAUCUGUGUAUUUGUUGUUGAAGAAUGCAUGCAACAUGUUUAAUAAUGUAUGCUACUUUGCUAGGUGCUGAGGUAGAUGAUAAUGCCAACGUAGAAGGGGAUGAUGCUUAGUUGGGUUCAACUCUAUCCUGUCCUGUCAGUUUGGAUGGCGAAGGUGGAGUGUUGAGAGCACCAUAGAUGGUUCCAAUAAGAGAAUGAGAACCAGAAUGUCAAAAACUAGGGUUUGGAAAGAUUGGAAGCCUCUCUUCAAAAUCACGAACGAUAAGCAAGUUCGGUAUGCUGCUAUAUGUAAGAUUUGCAAUGUAGAGUUGUUUGCUAAGUCUAGUGGUGGUACUGGUCAUCUAUUGAGGCAUGUUGCUGCUUGUACCGGAACUGUAAUUGCUAUUAUGUGAACUGUAACUGCUACUAUGUCUUCACUGGUGAAAAAUCUUUGUGGUCUGUUUCACUAUUUGUGACUAUGUAGUAUGCGCUUGUAAGGCUGUAACUGCUAUUAUGUAAACUAUAAGUCUGUAACUGCUAAUAUGCUUUUAUGUCUUCACUGGUGAACUAUAAAUAUUUUUGUGGUAUGUUGGUGACUGCGCUAACAACUGAACUGCUAUUAU
rnacentral:lncRNA from 1 species